UCAGUAAUUCAGUCGCAGAUGGCUUACAUUAUUUUAAACAAAAGUAUAAAGAGUUUGAGGAAGUUGAUAGUACCAUCAAAUUUACGAAGCGUGUAAACAACUUAUUUGAUGCCUUAAACCGCCGUCAUCCAUUAGAAGGUAUUCGAGAAAAUAGUAAAGAUUUUGAUACUUUAAAUGAAAAUCUAGCAUGGUUUAACGAAUGGGAACGAAUGGUAGAAGAAGGAAAAAUUAGCAAAAGUCAAUUCUUGACAAAAUCCACGACAGAAGGACUGCGUGUUACGAUUUUGUCAACAAUUGAACUUUGUAAGUAUCUUCUGUCAAACGGUUUUAAAUACGUUUUAACAAAUAAAAUGAACCAAGAUCCUUUAGAGGUAAGUUGCUUCGUAAAAUUACACAUUGAUGCUUGGAGUGGGAUGUAGUUAGUUUUCUUGUAGAUAAUGAUAAUGAAGAUACUUAACUAUAACAUGCACAAUUGCACAUACCCGCUUUGCAUUUGACAUUUUGCGUUCAUUCCGCAUCGAAAAGUUACGCCAACAAUUCUUUCUUUUUUGCCGGGGCAUUAGGUUCUUAUUUUAUCUAAGUAGCUGUUAGGUUUACUUUUUUUGUUUAUUAAAGGGUUUUAACUUUUAUUGCAGUAGUGAACUGCUGCUUUUGAACAAUACUUUGCACUAAAAAAUACUGGUCGUCGCUAUAGUAAUAGCAGGCAUUUUAUGUUGAAUUUUAUUUUUACUUAAAACAAUUACUCCCUUUUUAUCGGUUAUGUGUUAUGUUUUAACAUUCAGUAAACAGAAUUUAUGUUUAUUUUCAGAGGGUUUUUGAAUGCGAUAUGUAUUUUUUCUUUAUUCCACAGAGACUAUAUUUUUUGCAGAGAUUUUUCGGCACAAUUCGACAAGCAGGUUGUGCCAAUGGACAUCCCACAUUUAUAACUUUUUUGCAGCUAUACCGAAUGUUAUCGGUUUAUAAAUUAUUAAAACCUCCGAAAUUUGGCAAUUGCACACAGAUGCAGGAAAAUAGUAAUGCAAAUCAUUCGUUAUCAUUUAAUGACUUCAAAAAUAUUUUUGAAACAAAUCCAGAAUGCGGGAAAAAUCAUGUUGAGAAAAUAAAAAGGAAAAUUGAAUAUAUUUUAGAUACAGAUUCACCAAUUAACGAAAUAGACGAACAACUAUUUGAAGAUGUCACUACAACUGAAAUUGUUGACAACAUCAUUUAUUACUUAGCUGGAUUUGUCGCAAAAAAAUUGUACAAUACUUCAAAAUGUAAUAUUUGCCGUGAACAGUUAUACAACAAAGAAGAUCCAUGUUCUAGUACAUCUGAAUUUACUAGUACAAAAUCUAGGGGGUGGUUAAACCAUCCAGAUUCGUUAAUGUUUAAUAUGUUCCGAUGGGUGGAAGGGAUACUUAUGAAAUAUAUCGAUUUUGUGGAUGUUUUCGAUGCAACAAUUGAAGAGCUAUUCGCAACAAAAAAUUUUAUGACUAUUUACUUUCCUUUUUCUUGUGAAGAGCAUAGAUUGGAAAUAUUUUCAAAGGCAAUAUAUUUUUACACAAUUAUGCGAAUUAAACAAUUUUAUAAACAGGAACAAGAGAAAACAACCAAGGCAUGUGCAGAAAAAAGAAAAGAGUCUCGACUGCAGACUACGUAAUAAUGUUGUCUUGUGAAACGAACAGAAGUGAGUGAAACUAAUAUAAUAUGUGAAGGCGAAAAGAACUACAUUUUACAUUCAUG